rnacentral:rRNA from 1 species
CCCUACGGGGUGCAGCAGGUAUUGCCUGUACGGAACUCUCCGGGCCGGAUGCGCCGCACGAGAUUGGCGAGGCGAUCGCAGCAGCAUACCAAAAGAAGAUCCCGAAUGUGAUCCUCAUCCGGCCGGAGUGCCUCGCGGAAACCGGGUGCAGCGCACCGUCCCCUGCACCGGUUCAGCGCCCGUUCUCUGUCUGUUACGAACGGAACUGGCGGACACCCGCGAUGACCCGGUACGAUGCGAUUCGGGUCAUUGCAGGGAAUGUGCGAGACGAGGUACUGGUGGCAAACAUCGGUGUCCCUUCAAAGGAACUCUGCGCCGCCCGCGACCGGCCGGAGAACUUCUACAUGCUGGGAAGCUAUACGCAGGCGUCCGCGAUUGGGCUUGGUAUCGCCAUGGCCCGGCCGGAUAAAAAGGUGAUCGUGAUCGACGGCGACGGGAGC